GCCGUGUUCAUUCAACUUACAACUUGCAAAUUUGAGUCGAUUUUUCCGUCACUUUACAUAUUUUAAUGUAUCUGUCACAGCUUUUUUAAAUGCAAAUUCCACUGGAAACAACGGGUCUUCUGGAGGAUACAAGCACUUGGGCUGGUCCCAACCACCUACACCCGGGAUGAGGAGAAGAGGUUUCAUACUCGACAAGCGAUGGCCUUUCCAUUUCUUUCACGAGCAGAAAUGAUACCGAGUUCCAAUGACUUGGGCAUCAGAGCAGCAGUCCCUUGAUCGAUGAGCUCUUUGAGACCACCUGAAUUGCAAGCUCUGUAUGGCCAGUUUUUGUGUGACAAAAUAAAAGAUGAGGAAGGGUUGAAAAUCCCUCCAGCUAAGUUAGGGAUCAUGUAAUUGCCAUGGAAACCAAAUAUAGUAAUGUAUAACAGGUUGUAUAUUCCUGAAAGUGCAAUUGUUGGAUAAAUGUUAAUUUAUAUUGGCACUAAUGUAAUUUUAAGAUUGUCCUUAUUUUUAGCUUUACAUAAACACCAAAAGCAGAGAAUAUUGUUCCCAGUUGGAAUUGUGU